rfam:Ornithorhynchus anatinus chromosome 5, whole genome shotgun sequence.
CCCCUCCCAGGGUUGCACCUGAAGAGUUUCUAGAACUCUACCAGUCUCGACUAAAAGAAGGAGAGUCAAGCAGAGGCCAUUCCAUUCCUAGCUUGGACAGUGGCUAGCAAGUGGAAGGCAAUCUGCUACAAGU